AAACCAACAGGGAUUGCCCUAGUAACGGCGAGUGAAGCGGCAACAGCUCAAAUUUGAAAUCUGGCCCUUGGGUCCGAAUUGUAAUUUGUAGAGGAUGAUUUUGGUGCGGUACCUUCCGAGUUCCUUGGAACAGGACGCCUUAGAGGGUGAGAGCCCCGUACGGUUGGAUACCUAGCCUCUGUAAAUCUCCUUCGACGAGUCGAGUAGUUUGGGAAUGCUGCUCUAAAUGGGAGGUAAAUUUCUUCUAAAGCUAAAUACUGGCCAGAGACCGAUAGCGCACAAGUAGAGUGAUCGAAAGAUGAAAAGCACUUUGAAAAGAGGGUUAAAUAGCACGUGAAAUUGUUGAAAGGGAAGGAUUUAUGACCAGACUUUUUCUGGGCAGAUCAUCCGGUGUUCUCACCGGUGCACUUUGCCCAGUUUAGGCCAGCAUCGAUUUCCGGAGGGGGAUAAAAGCUUUAGGAAUGUGGCUCCCUCGGGAGUGUUAUAGCCUAUUGUAUAAUACCUUUCUGGGGAUCGAGGUACGCGCUUCUGCAAGGAUGCUGGCGUAAUGGUUAUCAAUCACCCGUCUUGAAACACGGACCAAGGAGUCGAACAUUUGUGCGAGUGUUUGGGUGUUAAACCCUCACGCGUAAUGAAAGUGAACGGAGGUAAGAGCCCUUACGGGUGCAUUAUCGACCGAUCCUGAAGUUUUCGGAUGGAUUUGAGUAGGAGCAUAAAUGUUCGGACCCGAAAGAUGGUGAACUAUGCGUGGAUAGGGUGAAGCCAGAGGAAACUCUGGUGGAGGCUCGCAGCGGUUCUGACGUGCAAAUCGAUCGUCAAAUCUGCGCAUGGGGGCGAAA
rnacentral:rRNA from 1 species